UAAGUGACUAAGCGUACAAGGUGGAUGCCUUGGCAAUCAGAGGCGAAGAAGGACGUGCUAAUCUGCGAAAAGCUUGGGUGAGUUGAUAAGAAGCGUCUAACCCAAGAUAUCCGAAUGGGGCAACCCAGUAGAUGAAGAAUCUACUAUCAAUAACCGAAUCCAUAGGUUAUUGAGGCAAACCGGGAGAACUGAAACAUCUAAGUACCCCGAGGAAAAGAAAUCAACCGAGAUUACGUCAGUAGCGGCGAGCGAAAGCGUAAGAGCCUGCAAGUGAUAGCAUGAGGAUUAGAGGAACCGGCUGGGAAGCCGGGCGGCACAGGGUGAUAGCCCCGUACUUGAAAAUCAUUGUGUGGUACUGAGCUUGCGAGAAGUAGGGCGGGACACGAGAAAUCCUGUUUGAAGAAGGGGGGCCCAUCCUCCAAGGCUAAAUACUCCUGAUUGACCGAUAGUGAACCAGUACUGUGAAGGAAAGGCGAAAAGAACCCCGGUGAGGGGAGUGAAAUAGAACCUGAAACCUUGUACGUACAAGCAGUGGGAGCCCGCGAGGGUGACUGCGUACCUUUUGUAUAAUGGGUCAGCGACUUAUAUUAUGUAGCGAGGUUAACCGAAUAGGGGAGCCGAAGGGAAACCGAGUCUUAACUGGGCGUCGAGUUGCAUGAUAUAGACCCGAAACCCGGUGAUCUAGCCAUGGGCAGGUUGAAGGUUGGGUAACACUAACUGGAGGACCGAACCGACUAAUGUUGAAAAAUUAGCGGAUGACCUGUGGCUGGGGGUGAAAGGCCAAUCAAACCGGGAGAUAGCUGGUUCUCCCCGAAAUCUAUUUAGGUAGAGCCUUAUGUGAAUACCUUCGGGGGUAGAGCACUGUUUCGGCUAGGGGGCCAUCCCGGCUUACCAACCCGAUGCAAACUGCGAAUACCGAAGAGUAAUGCAUAGGAGACACACGGCGGGUGCUAACGUUCGUCGUGGAGAGGGAAACAACCCAGACCGCCAGCUAAGGUCCCAAAGUUUAUAUUAAGUGGGAAACGAAGUGGGAAGGCUUAGACAGCUAGGAUGUUGGCUUAGAAGCAGCCAUCAUUUAAAGAAAGCGUAAUAGCUCACUAGUCGAGUCGGCCUGCGCGGAAGAUGUAACGGGGCUCAAAUAUAGCACCGAAGCUGCGGCAUCAGUGGAAACACUGUUGGGUAGGGGAGCGUCGUGUAAGCGGAAGAAGGUGGUUCGAGAGGGCUGCUGGACGUAUCACGAGUGCGAAUGCUGACAUAAGUAACGAUAAAACGGGUGAAAAACCCGUUCGCCGGAAGACCAAGGGUUCCUGUCCAACGUUAAUCGGGGCAGGGUGAGUCGGCCCCUAAGGCGAGGCUGAAGAGCGUAGUCGAUGGGAAACGGGUUAAUAUUCCCGUACUUGUUAUAAUUGCGAUGUGGGGACGGAGUAGGUUAGGUUAUCGACCUGUUGGAAAUGGUCGUUUAAGUUGGUAGGUGGAGCGUUUAGGCAAAUCCGGACGC
rnacentral:rRNA from 1 species